GACGAACGCUGGCGGCGUGCUUAACACAUGCAAGUCGAACGGAAAGGCCCUGCUUUUGUGGGGUGCUCGAGUGGCGAACGGGUGAGUAACACGUGAGUAACCUGCCCUUGACUUUGGGAUAACUUCAGGAAACUGGGGCUAAUACCGGAUAGGAGCUCCUGCUGCAUGGUGGGGGUUGGAAAGUUUCGGCGGUUGGGGAUGGACUCGCGGCUUAUCAGCUUGCUGGUGGGGUAGUGGCUUACCAAGGCUUUGACGGGUAGCCGGCCUGAGAGGGUGACCGGCCACUUGGGGAGUGAGAUACGGCCCAGACUCCGACGGGGGGGAGCAGGGGGUAAUAUUGCCAAAUGGGCGGAAGCCUGAUGCAGCCACGCCGCGUGGGGGAUGGGGGCCUUCGGUUUGUAAACCGCUUUCGCCUGUGACGAAGGGUGGGUGGCGGGAAUGGUUAAAGAAGCCCCGGCUAACUACUG
rnacentral:rRNA from 1 species